GGGGAAUAUUGGACAAUGGGCGCAAGCCUGAUCCAGCCAUACCGCGUGGGUGAAGAAGGCCCUCGGGUUGUAAAGCCCUUUUGUUGGGAAAGAAAUCCUGUCGAUUAAUACUCGGUGGGGAUGACGGUACCCAAAGAAUAAGCACCGGCUAACUUCGUGCCAGCAGCCGCGGUAAUACGAAGGGUGCAAGCGUUACUCGGAAUUACUGGGCGUAAAGCGUGCGUAGGUGGUGGUUUAAGUCUGCUGUGAAAGCCCUGGGCUCAACCUGGGAAUUGCAGUGGAUACUGGAUCACUAGAGUGUGGUAGAGGGAUGCGGAAUUUCUGGUGUAGCAGUGAAAUGCGUAGAGAUCAGAAGGAACAUCCGUGGCGAAGGCGGCAUCCUGGGCCAACACUGACACUGAGGCACGAAAGCGUGGGGAGCAAAC
rnacentral:rRNA from 1 species